rnacentral:rRNA from 1 species
UUCUGGCUCAGGAUGAACGCUGGCGGCACGCCUAACACAUGCAAGUCGAACGGAGUUAUGGGAGCUUGCUCCUAUAAACUUAGUGGCGGACGGGUGAGUAACACGUGAGCAACCUGCCUUCAGAGAGGGAUAGCUUCUGGAAACGGAUGGUAAUACCUCAUAACAUAUUGAUACGGCAUCGUAUUAAUAUCAAAGAUUUAUCGCUGAAAGAUGGGCUCGCGUCUGAUUAGCUGGUUGGUGAGGUAACGGCCCACCAAGGCAACGAUCAGUAGCCGGACCGAGAGGUUGAACGGCCACAUUGGGACUGAGACACGGCCCAGACUCCUACGGGAGGCAGCAGUGGGGAAUAUUGCACAAUGGGCGCAAGCCUGAAUGCAGCGAUGCCGCGUGAGGGAAGAAGGUUUUCGGAUUGUAAACCUCUGUCAUCGGGGACGAAAAUGACGGUACCCGAGAAGGAAGCUCCGGCUAACUACGUGCCAGCAGCUGC